GUCGAGAAUAAUUCACAAUGGACGAAAGUCUGAUGGUGCAACGCCGCGUGGAGGAUGAAGGUCUUCGGAUUGUAAACUCCUGUCAUCGGGGAGUAAGACCUGGCGGUAAAUAGCCGACAGGGUUGAUAGUACCCGAAGAGGAAGGGACGGCUAACUUCGUGCCAGCAGCCGCGGUAAUACGAAGGUCCCAAGCGUUGUUCGGAAUCACUGGGCGUAAAGGGAGCGUAGGCGGCGUGGUAAGUCAGAUGUGAAAUCCCGGGGCUCAACCCCGGAACUGCAUCCGAUACUGCCAUGCUUGAGGGUUGGAGAGGUAGCUGGAAUUCUCGGUGUAGCAGUGAAAUGCGUGGAUAUCGAGAGGAACACUCGUGGCGAAGGCGAGCUACUGGACAACAUCUGACGCUGAGGCUCGAAGGCCAGGGGAGCAAAAGGGAUUAGAUACCCGGGUAGUCC
rnacentral:rRNA from 1 species